AGGGUUGCUGCAGCACAGACAUUCACUGAACAUUUGAAGUAACCAGGUUGGAGAGCACUGUGGACCCUCCCUACCUCAAGGCAGGCUCUCAGCUCAGCUGUCCCGUGCUGAAGGUCUUGCUUGUCUUACUUGGUGUUGCUGUUCCAGUCCAAGAACCAAAUGCAGAGGGGGUUAAAGAAGUACUGGUCUCUUAGCCUGUAAGGCUUGUGCAUGAUGUCUAUGAGAGCAAUUUCCAGCAGAGCGAAGCCUUAUCACAGAUUCACCUAAAAGGUUGGUGAGCGCUUAGGAGAAAGGCUUAUACAUACUUCUGAUUUAUUGAGUUUCUCCCAAAUCUGCAGUGUUAAUAUUUUCAAAAGAAAAGUUGAACUGUGAAUCUGGCAGGUAAUGUAUGUAAAAUGCUGCUUGGCACUCCUCAUAUUUGCCAAGGAUGUUAACAAAUAUGAAUGAAUAUUAAGAAAAAAAGCCAGCAAAGCAGGAGGAAAUGAUGAAAAAUAGAGAGGCAAUUAAUAAAAACGAGAGGAGAAAAGGCACAUCAGCACCUAGAGAUAGUGAAGGAAUGCUCUAAUUAUUUUUUCACUGAAAAUGGCUUAAAUAGAGUUUUGAGAGUGGAGAACUCUAUUAUAAUGGAUCAUCAGUGAUAAAUUUUAAGACUAUUAGUUUGAGGAAUUCUGGUAAUUUAUGGGUAAACCCUUUGCUUAAAAAAGCAGGGGCUACAUUCAGAAUGUGGUGAUACACUGACGGCUAAAAGAACAGACUUUGAUAAAAGAAUAGAAGGAGUGACAAACUUUGAAACCCAAGAACAACAGGGACCUUCUUGGUCUCCAAUUUUCUCACAUUAACAUCAUAAAGUUAGCAAAGUCCAUGUUAAAAGUUUUUGUUUUUUCUGAUAGAAAUCAUCUCUUGGACUAUCUUUUGGAAUACUGUUUUACUUUUCCAAUCUACUUUUUUCAUUUCCAAUUUUUAAAUAACUCUUGUGCCAAAAUUGGCUUCUGGAUUGGUAACUGUCUUUCAGCCUGAUGUUUUAUGUUUAGAGCAGCUUACUGGCAUUUCUUCUUUAGCCAGUCCUUAACCUACCUUUCAAUUUCACCGCUUGCUUAAGUGUUUUCAGCUUUAACUAGCCUUUUCACAAACGUUGUUUCAUGAAAUACCUUACUGAAAUCCAGAUGGAUAUUUCCUCAAGCACAUCAGUUAUCAAAAGAAAACUAUUUAGUCUUUCUGGAAUUAGUAUAUGUGGUAUUCUAAAGCUGCAAGUGUUUCCUUUUCUUGAUCGUAUAGAAACAGAACUUUUAGUGAUAGUGCAGUGAAAUCAUUGCAAAGGGAGAGCUUUGUCAUCCACACUUUCUGAACAGAGAAUUUGAGUCAUCCCAUUUAAAAAGAGGUUUUCUUGAAAGCAGUAUCUUUUUGAUACUGGGAUCUUAAUCCAUUCCCCAGUCAGACUGAGCAUGCAUAUCAUGACAAAUCUAUCCUCCAUUAAUAUUGUUUGCUAUCCUAAAAUGAAUUAGCUGAAUCAAUAUACUCUUCCUGAGGUUUCCCUGAGGAGACAGGAGCAGCUGCUAGAGCAGCAACAGUCUGGCACCAAGGCAGUGGGGCCACCACUGGUGUCACCAGGGAGCAAGAAGCAGACCCUUGUAGGGAGCUGGGGGAGAAGGUUACUCAUGGGUACCGUGGUUUUGCUGAGGCAAAAGCAAGAAUCAGAUAUGACUGUCAGAACUGGCGAAGCUGUGCAGUCCUGGAAACGUAUAAUAGUAACACAAACUCCAGGACAGCAAGAUAAGAAAGAAUGCUGCUGCUGUUUCUGAUGCUCUUCUAACUACAUGAACUUCUUGAACAGCUGUGUGGACACUCAUCUUCAAUUAAUUAAUUAGACUAAUAUGUUCUCAAGGCUAGUUAGAGCCUUACUAUAUGGUUUCUUAUGCUUGAUAGAUAUUGCAAUAUGUAAUAAAGAAGGUAUGUAAUAAUGAGCAUAUUCUCCACCCUUUUUUGAAGACUGUUUUAAGAUCCGCAAUGCUGCAGACAACAGGAAAAACAAGGUUAAAAAAAAAGACAUAAGUUGAAAAAUUUGAGCUGGAUGCUUUCAAUUGGCUUAGUUUGUACAAAUUAGCAGACAGAAUUUCUGCACAGGUGGUAAAUAUACUUUUUUAAAAAUUUUUUUUCUAAAUUGAAGUAGGAAAAAACCCAAUGCCAAGGAACAAGUAUUUUUUCAAUUGAAAAAUAUUAUUGGUAGAUUUUUAUGGAGUAGUAUUUUUCUUCUUUUGUAAACAAAUAAUUUUUAAGGAAAGACUGUAUUAACACAUUGAGCUUUAAAAUUAAAAUUUAUUCUCAGCCUCAGAAGAGCCGAUGGUAGAACUUAAUUUGAAAUUCUCCACCAAAAUUAUUCUUCAAUAGAAGUUAUUAAUGCUUUGAAAUUAGAAGUAGCAUUAGUAUGAGUCAACAGUAGAACUACCCUAAUUUAAUUAGAAAAUUAAUUUUUGACAUGUUUACAAUUAAAUAACUGAAAGUUUGAAAAGUAAAUUUUUUUGAAGUGUAGCUUUAAAAAAAACCCACUGGUCGUGAUCAUUAUCUAAUUUGUACUAAAAAUUGCAAAUCAGUAUAAAAACAUUUGGAGUGUUUUCAAAUUACUGACUAUAUGUAUAUGAAUUUUUCAUAGUUUAUAGGUUAUUUUCCUGAUUUUUUUCAAUAAGAUGGUAUUUUUAAAUUUUAAAUUAUUUUUGUCUGUCUACUCCAUUACCUUGUGAUGUUUGCUUGAUGUGCAUUUUCAGCUGGUCUUUCAACACAUCUCCUUAAGCAGUGUAUUUUGUGUUUACAUGAGACUUUAAUUUAGUGAGCAGCUGAAGUAGUUUCUGUUUGUAUGGCGGGAUACAUGCUUGUACAAGUUAGAUUUGUGUAUUGUGGAAUGACUGAAUAUGGUUAUGAGAACCUCGGUUGUUUGACUUAUGAUGGUUACUAUCAUCAGCAAAUAAUACAAUUUUCAGUAUAUGACGCUGAUUCCUUCUUAUGCAUUUUUUCAUUAUCACAUUGACGGUGCAUUUAAAUAUCAAGGCUGUAUUGCUUUUCUUGGUAGUCAUUUGAGCUGUUAGGAUUGUUCUUUUUUAUAACAAUUAUGUCUUUUCUUAAAACCUCUUUCUUUGUUCAGCACAACUUUAAUGUGUGGGAUGUCUCCUUUCAUCACAGCAGGGGACACUGUGUAUUUGUGGGACACUGAUAAUUUGUGGGCUUCCAUAUUAGCAAUGUGGAAUCCGUUUGAGCUUGCUUGCAUAUGUUAGUGCAUUUUGUGAUGGUAAGUGUUGGGGAAUUCUGUCAGCAGUAGUAUUUUUUUCUCAGUAGUUAAUUAAUAUCCUGUAAAUAUGCUGUUCCCAUUAAGCCUAAAUGCUAAUUUUAUUGUCUCUGCAUACAGACUAUGUUGAUAAUAGCACAAAAAUAAACUCAUCUGAAAU